ensembl:snRNA U1 U1 spliceosomal RNA
AUACUUACCUGACAGGAGAGAUACCAUCAUCACGAAUGUGGUUUUCCCAGCGUGAGGCUUAUCCAUUACACUCUGGAUGUGCUGACCCCUGCGAUUUCCCCAAAUGUGGAAAACUGGACUGCAUAAUUUGUGGUAGGCGGGGACUGGAUUCGCGCUCUCCCCUG